GGUGGCUCAGUGGUAGAGCACUUGCUUGGCAUGCAUGAGGCCCUGGGUUCAAUUCCUCAGCACCA
rnacentral:tRNA from 1 species